GGNNANCUNNNCNGCAGNCGACGAUUCUACGGGAGGCAGCAGUGGGGAAUAUUGCACAAUGGGCGAAAGCCUGAUGCAGCAACGCCGCGUGAGGGACGACGGCCUUCGGGUUGUAAACCUCUUUUAGCAGGGAAGAAGCGAAAGUGACGGUACCUGCAGAAAAAGCACCGGCUAACUACGUGCCAGCAGCCGCGGUAAUACGUAGGGUGCAAGCGUUAUCCGGAAUUAUUGGGCGUAAAGAGCUCGUAGGCGGUUUGUCGCGUCUGCUGUGAAAACUGGAGGCUCAACCUCCAGCCUGCAGUGGGUACGGGCAGACUAGAGUGCGGUAGGGGAGAUUGGAAUUCCUGGUGUAGCGGUGGAAUGCGCAGAUAUCAGGAGGAACACCGAUGGCGAAGGCAGAUCUCUGGGCCGUAACUGACGCUGAGGAGCGAAAGGGUGGGUAGCAAACCGGAUUAGAUACCCGGGUAGUCCACGCCCUAAACGAUGGAUGCUAGGUUUGCGGGGUAUCGACCCCCUGUGAGCCGUAGGUAACCCGUUAAGCAUCCCGCCUGGGGACUACGACCGCAAGGUUAAAACUCAAAUGAAUUGACGG
rnacentral:rRNA from 1 species